GGACUUUCCCUUAUUUGCCCAGGACAGAAUGUUUCCUGAACAAACCGAAAGCAGGUGUGCCGCUGUUUACAGCUUUACAGGAAGAGACAGGCUCAGAACAGAUAUCGCAAUUUGAAUCUGGGAAUACAGGAAAAGCGAUGGAAUCAUUUCCAGACUGCUGUCCACAUCGUAGUAUGCCUGUAGAGACUGAUGAGUCUAUGACAUUGUCCUCUCUCAAUCUGGUCUGGCCUGUGUGCCAGCAGUGCCAAACACACACCCUUAAAGACAGAAGAAAAAAUGAUAUAUUCAGCCAAAAGAUGUGUGUUCCUGAUGUAAGUAGAUUGGAUUACCUAGAGGGUUGCCAUGGGUAUACUCCUAAAGAUUUAAGGGGCAGUCACCUCACCAAACUUUCCAUAAGUGAUUCCCAACACAGAGAGAGCCCUGUUGGCUUGCCCAGUCUCUACUUGCCUCAGAGUUCAGGAAGACACCUUCAGAGAGACUGUAGAGCCCACAUUGAAGAUCUGAGCGAAGGUAUUUCAGGCAUCAGACUUGAAAAUUGCUGCAUUUCCCCUGACAUAUAUCCACAGAACCCUGUGAGUGAGGAUGAGGAGAGUCUAGAAAGGCCUAGUCCUCUUCGCUCUGACCUGGGAGAGAAUUCCUGCAGAUAUUCUCCAGCAAAACAGCCAGGAUUUUACGGUAUGGUUAUUAUUAGUAUGAUUAAAAGGGUUGUGAUAUGAGGAUACAAAGUUUAUUUGAUCUUUUGAAAUAAAAAUAGCAGUUACGUUUUAGACCUCAAAAUUUCUCCCUAGCUCCAUAAAUAGCAGAAGAAACCAUGAAGCUAUUAUUAUUAUUAUUAUUUUAUUUUUUUGUCACACUGUGGUAUACACCUCUACAUCAACACAUUAAUGCCUAGUUUACCUUACCCACUUCCGUAGCCCUUCUGCAAGUUGUCUGUGUUGUUACAUUGACAGUCCCACUUAAAUUACAAUAUCCCCCCCAUUUCAUUAGAAAUAAAUCUCAGCAUAUAUUAGGCCUAGAUUAAAUAAUAUAUGUACUGUGCUGAAUAGAUUUCCGUAUUAAAAUAUGCAUUAAACUGAACUGAAAGUACUAAAAUCUUAAUGGUAACUGGAGGUGUAAUACAUGCAGGGGUCUGUUCUGAUUCAAACUGAUUGCAUUAGUAUUAGCCUGUAUAACCUAUGCAACACAUACAUGUAGUGGGGUAUUCUGCAUAAUCGAUUGCACAAUGUUGACUUUCAUCAGUGGUUGGCAUACAGUACAUGCAACCAGUGAGAAUGCAUUUCUGUCAGUGCUCAUCCACACAGCAACACAACAAGUUUCUUUUGAUAAGUCAUUAGUGAUGUACCAAAACUUGGCAGAAAUCAGAAACAUUACUUUUAAGACAUCUGAUAUCAUAAAUUUUGACAUGGGUGAAGUUGCAUGUGCUGUAUGCACAGAAAAAAAUAAACCAGGUGUAAUCUGAGUCAAUGAUGUUAUGGAGCUUGUGUUAAUGAGACACACUGAGUGUAAACCACACAAACAUAAUAAAUAAAUUCUGAGCUAUAUUCGUCCUCAAUAAUGUCUGUUUUGGAGUCUUGAAUUAUGGCUGUGACACACCAAGCCAUCAGUAAGAAUCUGUUAGCAUAGUUUUUGCAGUGUGUUUUUCGACAUCAGCACUAGUUGAUUCUUGUCAGUUGGGUGACUAAACAUGUUGUAUUCUAAAACUUAAGCCUGCAUUACGACGGUCGCUGUGAUUUUGCCAAGAUGUUUUGUUGGUCCUGGAUCAACAUUACUGUUCAAGAAUACAGACACAAUCCCUACCCCAAAACCUAACCCUACCCAUAAUUUAUUUCUAAAAUCAGUGUGAAAUGAUAGCUGAUUAACAAGGGUGUAGAAGCACCUUACCUCGAUCAUAAGCCUAAAACAGAUAUUUUCUGUAAAGUUAUCCCUAAAUUCUGAUUGGUUGAUUGUGUGGUGUUUUCACACUUUAAAAGAACAUACUCCACACAAUGUACAACUCACAUUCUCAACUUUAUUCUUCUUCAUCCCAUUACUAAACAAAAUUCCUCACUAGAGCCCCUAGUGGUGCAGUUCCACAUUAAUGUUUUAUAUUUAGCAAUUAUCAAAUAUUGUAUGCUUCUCAACACAGCAUUUCCCCCGUUACUCAAACAGAAUUACUACUCUUUUAUAAUUGUUACCUUAUUCAAGUCUUUACUCAAACAUCAACUUAUCUCAAAUAAGCAUACUCAAAUGACCUCUUAUGCAUUCAAGCAACAGUUUAUUUCAGUGGAGCAUAAUGAAAGAUUCUAGCACACUUUUUUUCCUUUUAACAUUACACAGAAUAACAUUCAUCAAACAUUUCAGGAUUCAGUGUAUAUUCACAUUAUUAUUAUUAUUUAAAUAGGGCAGUGAUCUGCCUACACCCUUUACAUAUCUUCUUGGUCUGACUUAUUUCUUUCUCUUCAGACAAAUUACUCCAACACAUAGUCUUUAGACCACAAAGGUGGGCAUCUCUAUCAAGCCCCUAUCUGAAGUCAACUCUAAAUUCCAUCUUUUCCCAUCACUUAAGAUGAAAAAUUUGGACCUGUUUGUUGUUUUACUGCCAACGGAUCAGUAAAAUGGGCUUCUCCUUUUUUCACAUGAAAAGGCUCUGUCACUCUCACCUUAUUUCCAACCACAACAUUGAGAAAUGUAGAUCCUCUUUUACGAUCUGUGUAUUGUUUUCUUUUGUUUAAUUGUGUCACACGAGCUCUGACCUGAGCAAAUUAAUCAGGGGUAUCCACAGGCAGAAGAACAUUCAAAUUUGUUCUCAUAGGUCGGCCUCUCAAGACCAGAAAAGAGGGCUCACCCAUUGCAGCAUGGGGUGUUGUUAGCUCUUCAGCAUGGUCAGGACUGCAGAUUUCCAGGGCUAAUGCACCACUUCAGCUGCUUGAAGACACUCUUUAAGCACCCUGUUGAACCAUUUGAUGGCCCCAUUUUCCUGAGUGUGAUAAACACAGGCCUUUAUGUGCUAUAUUCCCUGUGUUUUCACGAAAUCAGCAAAUGCAGACGAAGUGAACUACAUGCAGUGUUGGGCAAGCUACUUGGAAAAUGUAGUGAGCUAAGCUACCAGUUACUCUACAGUAAAUGAAGCUUCACUACACUGAAGCUACCCCCCUGCGAAAUGUAGCAAGCUAAGCUACAUCACCAGUAGCUUGCUACAUCUAAGCUACUUUUAAAAUUAAAUUUUAAUGUUGAACAUGUUUUAUUACAAGUCAAUGCUAUUUCAGUACUUAAAACUGUCAGUCAAACAGAUAGGCAGGUGUAAUUUUUUAGUUUAAUAGUUUUUUGUGUUCCUUAUCAAUUUGGCUACAAAAACAAUCAAAAUACAUGUAAUUAACAAUGUGCGCACAAGUAAGUGUAUGCACCUGUUGCAUGGGCAUGCUUAAUAUACUGUAGGCCUUUGCAGAACAAAAUGCAAGACCUCCAAACAAUUUCAGGCUGGCCCUUAUGAAACAAAAAUAUAUUGCAGUAUAUUGGAAAAUAUCAUGCAAUAUAUUAGGCAUAUAUUCUUAUAUAUAUAUUUAUUUUUUCCAAUAUAUUUCAAUAUAUUGAAAGCGGCAAACAUUUGUAUAUUUUGCAAUAUAAUAUAUAAUAUAUGUGUCAUCAAUAUAUUAUUAAAUGUAUUCAAAUGUAUAAAAUAUUAGAAAUAAAAAGGGAAAAUAAUAUAUUACAAUAUAUCACAAUAUAUUUAAAGAAAUAUAUUGGUAAACAUAUUUUUUUCUUUCGUAAGAGGGACCCUGAUAAUUUUUACAAGCAGCAUCUGAAAACAUAUUUUCUCUCUGUUAUCUCGGUCAGUGUCAUGUACUUGUCGAGGUACGGCCACGGCGACUCACUCCUCGGCAUUAACUGUUCUCCGACCUCAUCCUGUGCCAUCAUUUCAUCAAAUAAUUUUUUGCCUGACUGGCUAAGGACUGGUACCAUCCGGAGCAGAAGGUGGCGGUAAUGCAUCAUAAAGAUGGUUGGUUGCUAUUUACCCUAAACACAAACAAGACGUCGCGUCACUACUGAUCCAGGAUCAGCGAUCUUAGCAGUUGUAUUUCCCGAUUUGAGUUUGAGCUUCAGAAAUGCUUGCGGAAAUGUAGCUUGUGUGGAAGCUACCGCACUACUUGGUAGAAAAAAGAGCUUCGCUACUGAAAAGCUGUUUGAUUCAGAAAGCAGCGAAGCUACGACCAAGCUACUGAGAAAUUUAGUUAAACUAUUAGCUUCGCUGCUUUUAGCGACGCUACUGCCCAACACUGACUACAUGAUUGUCUGUUGAGAUGGUGCAGGGGUUUCCUUAAUUUGCAAAGAUAGUGGUCAGAAAUUUCAAAACAAUCGCUGCUGUUACUGAUGAAGCAAAACCAACUUCUAGCCAUUUGCUGAAAUAGUCAAUCAGUGUUAUUGCAAACUUACAAUCAGUAGCUCCCUUUUUGAAAGGUCCAACUAUAUCAAUAGCAACAUGUUGAAAUGGGCCUUUUGGCAGUGGUGGACAGUACUGUACUUAAGUACAUUUUUCAAGUAUCUGUACUUUACUGGAGUAGUUUAUUUUGAGUAACUUUUACUUUUACUUCACUACAUUCCAAAGUAUAAGAUCAUACUUUUAACUUCACUAUAUUUCAUAAAACAUAUCGUUACUCCCUAUAAUAUAUCACGUGCUCCGACACGCAGAAGCGGUGUCUGAUUCAUCAUGAACAAACUGAGUCUUUUCAAAAUAAACUUUUAAAUCGGAUCGCAAAUCGCACCAAACUAUUAGUUUCCGAAUUAGAAUUAUCUGAUUGCAGCUGUUCUGGAGUCGACCACUCACUGAUUCAAAUGAACCAUUUAGUGCGAGUCAGUAAGAACCGGGAGAUCUUGUGAGCGUGCGUGCGUCUGAUGUUGCUAAAAGUAAGUUAUUAAUGUCGAAAUUUAGGAUUAAUUAUUGUGACUGAAAAUCAUAUUUAGGUCAAAAUUGUCAGUUGUUUGGGAACUAAAUCCGCUGUAAAGAGUGAUCUGUUUAAGCCCACUGAAAUGCUCGAGUGCAGACGAUGCAGACACAUCAAUCAGUGUCUCUGUGUUUUAGGUAAAAAAAAAACAACAACAAAAAAAACAUUCAACUAACACAGAUUAAAUAAAAUAACUUGUGCAUGUUCAAAUUCCCCGCUGCCAUAAUAUUAACAGUUUUAUUAAAAUAGUACCAUGUAGUACCAAUAGUACCGUCUGUUUUUAUAUUGUUUAUCAACAGUAACGUUAUAUUGUUUGGAUUAACUAGACGAGCAGAUAGACAUGAAUGUUUAUUCAUAACCGUACUGAAAAUAAGUAAAUAUUGUUAGCUGAUGCUAACUAUCUAGCUAACAAGCUUGCUGGUGCUAACUUGAGGAAAUUAUUAUAAAUAAUGUCCAAAUAUUUUUGUUCAACAACACACAAAUAUAUAUAUAUAUAUAUAUAU